rnacentral:misc_RNA from 1 species
GAUGAAGAACGCAGCGAAAUGCGAUAACUAAUGUGAAUUGCAGAAUUCCGUGAAUCGUCGAGUCUUUGAACGCACAUUGCGCCCCCUGGUAUUCCGGGGGGCAUGCCUGUCCGAGCGUCAUUGCUGCCCAUCAAGCACGGCUUGUGUGUUGGGUCCCGUCCCCCUCUCCCGGGGGACGGACCCGAAAGGCAGCGGCGGCACCGCGUCCGGUCCUCGAGCGUAUGGGGCUUUGUCACCCGCUCUUGUAGGCCCGGCCGGCGCUUGCCGACACCCAACCAUUUUUUUCAGGUUGACCUCGGAUCAGGUAGGGAUACCCGCUGAACUUAAGCAUAUCAAUAAGCGGAGGA